UACGUAGGGACCAAGCGUUGUUCGGAUUUACUGGGCGUAAAGGGCGCGUAGGCGGCGUGUUAAGUCAGCUGUGAAAUCUCCAAGCUUAACUUGGAACGGUCAGCUGAUACUGAUGUGCUAGAGUGCAGAAGGGGCAACCGGAAUUCUUGGUGUAGCGGUGAAAUGCGUAGAUAUCAAGAGGAACACCUGAGGUGAAGACGGGUUGCUGGGCUGACACUGACGCUGAGGCGCGAAAGCUAGGGUAGCAAACGGG
rnacentral:rRNA from 1 species